rnacentral:rRNA from 1 species
UACAGGGGGGGCAAGCGUUGUUCGGAAUUACUGGGCGUAAGGGGCUCGUAGGUGGCCAACUAAGUCAGACGUGAAAUCCCUCAGCUUAACUGGGGAACUGCGUCUGAUACUGGAUGGCUUGAGUUUGGGAGAGGGAUGCGGAAUUCCAGGUGUAGCGGUGAAAUGCGUAGAUAUCUGGAGGAACACCGGUGGCGAAGGCGGCAUCCUGGACCAACACUGACACUGAGGAGCGAAAGCCAGGGGAGCAAACGGG